AGUGAAGAGAGAGUCUGUGUGAAGAUGUGGAAGACGUGUGUGACUUUGGGGCUCCUCAUAUGUAUCCAAGUCCGUGCAUAUGGCCCUAUGCGUCCUCAUAUUGGGGGUGGUGUUGAUGCCCAAGAGAAUGCAUGGCCGUGGAUUGUUAGUGUACAUGACCCCACCUGCCAUGUUUGUGGAGGUUCCCUUAUCAGCCAUAAAUGGGUGCUGUCGGCAGCUCAUUGUUUUAUUGGGUUAGAGCCUUACCAAUACAUACAGUAAAUAUAGACUUUAAGGGUGCUUUCACACUGGAGCAUUUGUUUCGGAACCUGGUGCAUUUCUCCCUUGGCUCGGUUUGUUUAGGCAUAUGUGAACACGGUAAUCGCAGUCGGCUCCGCACCAAAACAAUCACUCUGAACAAGGUAGUCUCAGUCUGACUGCAAACAAACUCUGGGGCGGUUUGUAUGGGGGUAGAAUUGUUGCAUUAUUCCAAAUACGUAGAUUAUGAUCCAUAAAUAACAACACGGUCUCACCCCUCAUCGUCACUUAUCGACGGUUGGUCAUUGCCCCCUGGCGUCGACAUCAGAGGCAGAAGGUACCCCCUUUGCGUCGCUUUUCAACGUAGAUGGCCGUCCUAUUCACCUUAUUUUCCAUGGCAACAGGUUAUUUCAGAAUCAUUCAUUAUUAUUACACUUGACGUUUACCUACAUUAUUCAUUAAUUAGACUUAAUGUUACACUCAGUGUACACCUACCAAAUCUUACCUUUACCUUACAUUUUGCAUAUACACUGUAUAGAAUUACUAGGCAAGUUGAUUUUCUGAUCAUAUUUUUUGGUAUAUUUUACCAAUUCCAAACCACAUCAAUCUUAAUAACUAUUCAUUUUGUAUUUGAUCUUUUAUAAGUGAUAUAUAAUCUUUUUUGGCUCAUUUUAUCUGUAAAAGAAAAUCUGCCUAAUAAUAAUGCACACCUGAAUAUAAGGCGUUUUUCACUUCCAAGGUUCAGCCUCCUGCUUUUCUAAUGUGUAAUUUAUAAAUGUUCACUCACCUUACUCCAAUGUACAAUUAAGAGUUUAGACAAGAUACUUAGUCUGAUGAUGGUCAUCAGGUCAGCAGCUGUGUAUGUCACAAACACGUUAAUAUACUUUUAAACAUUUAUAACAUAGUGUAUGUUAACAACACAAUCGCUGCAAGAUAUUAUCAUGAAUAAUAAAUAAUGAUGAUGUGUGUGAUAGUCUUAGCUU
ensembl:lncRNA